AGGACGAACGCUGGCGGCGUGCCUAACACAUGCAAGUCGAGCGAGGAGAUCCCUUCGGGGAUGACCUAGCGGCGGACGGGUGAGUAACACGUGGGCAACCUGCCUUAUAGAGGGGAAUAGCCUUCCGAAAGGAAGAUUAAUACCGCAUAACAUUACAUUUUCGCAUGAAGAAGUAAUUAAAGGAGUAAUCCGCUAUAAGAUGGGCCCGCGGCGCAUUAGCUAGUUGGUGAGGUAACGGCUCACCAAGGCGACGAUGCGUAGCCGACCUGAGAGGGUGAUCGGCCACAUUGGGACUGAGACACGGCCCAGACUCCUACGGGAGGCAGCAGUGGGGAAUAUUGCACAAUGGGGGAAACCCUGAUGCCAGCAACGCCGCGUGAGUGAUGAAGGUCUUCGGAUCGUAAAGCUCUGUCUUCAGGGACGAUAAUGACGGUACCUGAGGAGGAAGCCACGGCUAACUACGUGCCAGCCGCCGC
rnacentral:rRNA from 1 species